ensembl:lncRNA
GCAACAGACUGUAAACUCAGAGCUGCUCUAUGCAGGGCAAGGCAGGCACAGGGGAGCAAUGAAUACUAAUACUGUUUAAAAAUUUGCGAAAGGUCAUGUAGGCUACUGUCACAAACAGGCUCCAUGGGUUUGUUGUUUUGAAAUUCAUUAUUAUUACAUCCUGAAGAAGAAGGCAGAAGCUUACAUGAGACUGGGGUAAUGGAGGAGCACAGUAGGGGAGUAGCAGAUCUGCUGUUGGAGGGGGAGCUAGGGGCAGUGACUCUGGGGCUGGAGCAGGGACUUUUCUCUUGGGAUGAGCUGGACCUACCUCACAACUCUCAUGGUUCCACUCCUCUUAUCAGCGCUUGCCAGAUGGGCCUCACUACAGUCAUGCGGUUCCUUCUGGAAAGGGGAGCAGAUGCAACACUGUGUAACCAUAACAACCAGACUGCUCUUCAUGUCAGUCCACCAGACCUGCAGGGGGAGUUGGUGGCAGCUUUAGAGAGUCGUUUAUGCCAUCAAGGCCAACUUUCGGAGGCUGCCUGGAGGGGGGACAUGAGUACCCUACAGCACCUGCUGACCCUGACAGACUUGAUCGAUGUGAACAGCCCGAACCGGAAUGGGCUGACCCCACUAAUGCUGGCAGUGAGGGAUGUGGACCUGUUUGAAGGAUUGCAGGACAUCAUGCCAUGGGACUACCGUCCAGCUGAAAUAGUGAAGGCACUGCUGUCUCUGUCUGCGAGCCUAGAGGUCCAGGACGAAAAGGGCUACAUUGCUCUUCACUACAUCUCUCAGAUAAGGAGCCCUAUUAAAGAUGAGCUGCUCCAGAUUAUUUUGAAAUCUAAAUCAGAAGUGGAGCUACCGUUUUAUUUCCCUGCAGACUGCUCUGACAAUUCCCACAGCCGCUCCCCUCCUACACUUGCCGCGGUGAAGGGUGCUGCCCAUGAAGAUUCCAACCAAGGUGAGUUGCACACUUUUCUUUAAAACAUUAACUCUAUCCCACUCAGAGGCAAAAAGUCAACAGGCCAGAGAUACACCUGCACAGCGCUUCCAAAAACACAGUAGGGCUC